CUUGUCAGUGUACUCGAUUUCCGAGGCUUCCCUCAGUUCUACAGUGAAUUUUCGGCGGACGGUUAUGGCAUCGAACUCCAAGGGGAAGGCAUUGGUGAGGCCGGAGGGCGCCGGAGAUAAGGCUGGGGUUCACGCUUCCAGCAAGAAGUCGGCAGCGGAGGCGGCAGCGGCGUCGAUCCCUGUGAGUAAGGUUAAGUGUGAGUAUGAUUGUUCCGAUACUAGGUUUUUAAUUGAGAACUCCUCGAAUUUCAAGCGAAGUGGUCCGCCGGUUCGCUUGAUGGGCUACGUGGAUGAAUCGUGGGAUGAUUUUCCCUUCCAAGUGGUGAAUUCAGUACGGAAGGGGUUCGUGGAGGGGAUGCCGGUCGUGGAGGUCGGAAUUGGGGGGGUUCGGUACUUGUUUGAUUUGUAUCGCAUGUUGCAUGUUGAUUUGGAGAGUGGGAGUUGGAGGUCGAUCGCUUGGAUUGAUGUUCACGGCAAAUGUUUCUUCCCGAAAACCUUUGUCGGUGCCCCCGAAGGGGUUAGAAAUGUUACCGGUGAACGGAGGAUUGAGGUCGUGGGUGUUUCCAAAAGUCCCGAUGUUGAGAUUUUGAAUGUUAAUGCUGCCAAUGACUUGGCUAAUUCUGAGAUUCUCAAGAUUGAGAUUGGGAUUAAAAUCGCAGAUAACUGGGAUUUCUCUAAGAAGAAGAGAGUGUGUGUGGAGAUAGGGCCUGAAGAGGAUGAAAAACUGAUAACCGAAGGUCACUCCGUGAAUGAAAACUUCCUUGGAGUGAAGAGGUUGCGAAUUGCUACGAACGACGUGGAAGUAGAAUCGCCGAAGUGGCCAAAGGCGAAGAAGCUUGUAGAAGGGGCGAGAGCUUAUAAUCGUGUGAGGAACUUGUUUCUUUCUGGGAUAGGGGAUUUUGAACCCUUCAUUACGAUCACUGCAAUUCAUCAGUGGCUCACGGGUCCGGCAGAGUGUGCCCGAUGUAAAGUUUUCUAUAAGCAGACGGAGAUCACUAAGGCUUCCAGGGGGGACGCCAAACUCUCAUACGCUUGGUACGGGACAUCGGCCAAGGGUGUGGAGAACGUUUUAAGUCACGGAUUUGGGAUGCCCAGUAGGGUUCCUGCUUCUGAAAUUCAUGGAAUUGGAAUCUACUUGUCUGCGCUGUCCUUCCCUCUUUUUAGUGGUAGGUUAUCAGAGGAUGACAACGGCGAGAAGCAUGUUAUCUUGUGCGAAGUUAUAUUGGGCAAAUGUGAGAAAGUUCAAGCUGGUUCCUCUCAGCUAUAUCCUUCCAGUAAAGACUUUGAUACUGGUGUGGAUGAUCUUAAGAAUCCCAAGUGGUAUGUGGUGUGGUGUGCUAACAUGAAUACUCACAUUGUUCCCUAUUGUGUUGUGAGUUACAGGUCUUUUUUUUCUCAGCCAGGUUUUCUUGCAGAGCUAGUCUUCAAGUUGGGGGCUUCUCUUUCUUCUGAGAGAAUGCAGGAAGUUCAAAAUUUAUGCAGUGCAUACAAGGAUGGGAAAGUGACUGAAGAGACUUUUGUGGCACAGCUGCAGUCAGUUGUUGGGAAACAAAUGCUGGUUUCAGCAAUUCGAGGGAUUUCAGGCUGAAAACAAGUUGCAAGUAAAAGUGGUUGCUUCUGCAGCUUUGGGAGUGUGGUGACUGGGGAGUGUCUAUACACAGGCACCCAAUUUUUAGCUCAGAAAUGGAAGCUUUUGACGUUGAUGUAUACUGUUGAAGUUGUUUUCUACGGUAUGGUUGCAAGGUAAUGUUAAAAUUGCUUCUGCUUUAUGUUGAGUUUCAGAUCUCUUUCUUAUUACAAUAUGUGUAAUGUACACCAUUGCUAAGGUGUACUUUUUCCAGGACUGAGCAUUAGCAUUUGUGUACAAUAUGAUCUUCUAUUGGACUUGGCGGCUUCUUGUUAUUCAGACUAGGAAGGUUAUUUUGGAUGUUGCUGCAUUUUUGUGUAGCUUCCCUUCAUCUAAUCUUGAAAACUUGGAACCACCAGAAUGCCCGGAUAGUGCUCUCUCUCUCUCUCUGAGACAGCAGUCAGCAACCUUGGCAAAUGUCAGUUCAUUUGUGCAUGAUUGAUCUUUCCUAUGGAGAAGAAAUCACCACAAAGUAGUGACAUCAAUGGAGGCAUCUAUGGUUCCAGAUAUGAAAUGAUCUGCAUGGUGGAACAGCAGCAAUGGUUCAGCAGAGACGGCCAUGACAAUGGUAAGCCCCCUUUCCUCUCCCCCUCUCUCUCUCUCAGUGUUCUAGGUUUUAUGGAACCCAAAUUUAUCUGGGCAUAGUCAAACCCAAAUUUGGGUUGGAUUUGGUUUCUGAUGACGAUGGUAACCACCCCCCCCCCCCCCUCUCUCUCUCUCUCUCUCUCUCUCUCACUGUGUUCUAGGUUUUAUGGAACACAAAUUCAUCUAGGUUUCAUUGGUGGGGUGGUGUUUUUGGAAAAAAACCACCGAAAACCGAUCAUCCCCCCCCCCCCCCAAUCUCUCUCUCUCUCUCUCUCUCUCUCUCUCUCUCUCAUUGUGUUUUGGGUUCCGUAGAACUCAAAUCGAACCCUCAAUCUAGGUUUGAACGAACCCAAAUUUGGGUUCAAUUUGUUUUUUGGUGGGGUUUCAUUGGAAACCCCAUUGGUGGGAUGGUAUUUCUGGAAAAAACCCCACCAGAAACUCUCUCUCUCUCUUCUUUGAAUCCAGAUUUAGGUUCAUUACAUGCUGGCGAUGAACCUAGAUGGAUUCAUUACACCAGCACAGAACCCACUGGGUUCAUCUUUGAUGAUGAUCCCAGUGGGUUCCAUGCUGGCAUGGGUUCAUCUUUUAUUUAUUCUUUUAUUUAUUUUAUUUUGUAUUUUUCAAUCAGAGGAGAAAGGAUGAAGGGUAAAUUUGUCAUUUUACCCUUGGUUACAGUAUUUCUCAAACGGGGGGGGGUUGCAAUUUACCAGCUAAAAAUUUAACUCGGACCAAAAUUUUUUCCACAGCACAAAACAACAGAAUGCCAUGCAGCUAGCACUAGGAGCAUAACUGCUAGUGCAGUUAAAAAUCACUGAAGAAAACCACAUUGAUGGUUUAUGCCUUAGCCACUAAAGCAUAAAUUGCCCAUGCGGUUUAUGCAUUAUAUCAUAAACCCCACUUUGGUGGUUUCCUCAGUGCUUUUUAAACCUUAAUAGCAAUCCUUUCACUGCGAACUGGAUGAUAUUUUCCUAUUUUGUUCAGCAAUAGAGAUUAGUGAUGUGACCGAGUUCUGUUUGGGACUAACUUGUUUUAGCUAACAAAUUUUUUGCAGCUAGGUCUAAAUUUCGAAAAAACAGUUUCUGUCAUCCAACUCAUAUGUUUAAGUUGCUAGGUUUAUCUGCCUAUCCUUAUUUGAAUCAAUCUAUGUAAGAUUUAUGCCACAUUUUCUUGCUCGAAUUCAUGCUGCCCUUGAAGUAAAUUCGCCAUCUUUCCUCCUCUUAUUCAAGUGCUUGGCCUAAAAUCAGACAAAAUUUUGGUCAACCUACUACCGCUUAUAUGGAUAUGGGAUAUUAUGAUACAUAUUCACGAUGUCAUUGAAAAGGUUUAAUAUCUAUAGAGAUGAACUCCGCCUGGGGAUGUUAUCCACUGCCGGUCCCAAGCCCGGAUAAAGGAGGAGGGUUGUGUUAGGUAGUCGACAGCCAACGUAAAACUUAGUCGGAUCCAAAACAUGAACUCUAGACAAAUUAUGAAAAAACGUUUGGGCGUGGGCGUAAUCCUUCAUAGCGACGCGCUACACUGCCUGCGUGUAGUGUCAAAUGAGCUAGGGCCGCUGCAUUGGUGCCCGGAUGUAGUGACAAAUGAGCAAGGGUUCCCGCAUUUGCUUGGACGGAUGUAGGUAAAGAAGUUAGUCCAAUAUCAAAAUCAAAAUCAAAAUCAAAACCAAAACCAAAAACAAAAACAAAAUCAAAACCAAAACCAAAACCAAAAACAAAAUCAAAAACAAAAUCAAAUUCAAAGUCAAAGCCAAAAAGAAAAUCAUAGAUUAAGGAUUGGAUCAUGAAACAUAGGAACAUUAACAGGCAAAGCUAUGGAAGUGGUAGAUGUGAUGAUUAGGAGAAAGAUUAAUAUUAUGUGCCUUCAAGAGAUGAGAUGGGUAGGAAAAAAAGCAAAAACUUUGUCAGAAAAUGGAUAUAAAAUAUGGUACACAGGAACUGAUCGAGCAAAAAAUGGAGUGAGGAUCAUUAUGGAUAAAAGCUUAGUAGAUGAGGUAGUGGAUGUAAAGAGAAUAGGGGAUAGGAUUAUUAUGGUGAAGGUUAUUCUAGGAAGAAUGACUAUGAAUAUCUUUAGUACAUAUGCACCACAAGCGGGGUUAGGUGAGGAGAUAAAAGCAAAAUUCUGGGAGGACCUAGAGGGACUCAUACAAAUUAUACCAAGAGGAGAGAAAGUGAUUAUAGGAGGUGACUUAAAUGGUCACGUGGGUAGAGACGGAAACGGCUAUAGAGAGGUACAUGGAGGGUAUAGAGGGUAAGUCUAUUCUAGAUUUUGCAAUGGCAUAUGGGCUCAUCAUAACCAAUACUAGGUUCAAAAAACGGGACGAACACUUAAUCACAUAUAAAAAUGUCACAUCAAGCACCCAAAUAGAUUACUUCCUCAUGAGACAAGAGGAUCGGGUAUGUUGUAAGGAUUGUAAGGUGAUACCGGGAGAGUGUUUAACUACUCAAUAUAGACUUCUAGUACUUGACGUCCAAGUAAGAAAUUGGAAGAGAAAAAAUCACAUAAAACAAAAUUCAAGAAUCAUGUGGUGAGAUUUAAAAAGGGAGAAACAACUAAUAUUCAAAGAAAAAUUAAGGGGUAGAAGAGAAUGGAAUGGAGAAGGACAGACAAACCAAAUGUGGAGAGAAAUGGCUAAUGCCUUGAGAAACACAGCAAAGAUAGUGCUUGGAGAGACAAAUGGUAGAGCCCCUAACCUUAAGGAGUCUUGGUGGUGGAAUGAAGAAGUGCAAUUGAAAAUUAAAAAUAAGAAAAUUUGCUAUAAGGCUAUAUAUUAGUGCAACAAUGAAAAAAAUCAAAAAAAUUAUAAAGAAUAAAAAAAGGCAGCAAAAAAAGCUGUUAGUGAAGCAAGGUUAAAAGCAUACAAGAAUCUAUAUAAACGACUUGGUACAAAAGAUGGAGAAAGGGAUAUAUAUAAAUUAGGUAAAGCAAGAAAAAGAAAAACAAGAGAUUUAAAUCAAGUGAAAUGCAUAAAAGAUGAAAAUCAAAAUGUAUUAGUGAAUGAGGGAGCGAUUAAGGAGAGAUGGAAGGAGUAUUUCACAAAAUUACUCAAUGAUGAUGGCAACACAAGAGUUAGGUUGGGACAUCUUAUUAACUCUGAAGGGAACGUGAGCUAUACAUUUUAUCGACGCAUAAGUCCAAAUGAAAUAAGGCAAGCAUUAAAAAAGAUGAAAAAUCAUAAGGCAGUGGGACCGGAUAAUAUAUCAAUAGAAGUAUGGAAAUGCAUGAGAGAAUAGGGUAUCUCCUGGCUAACGAAAUUAUUUAACGCGAUUCUUAAAUUAAAAAAGAUGCUAGAUUAGUAGAGGAAGAGUACUUUGGUCCCUAUAUAUAAAAACAAAGGAGAUGUUCAAAACUGUGAAAAUUACAGAGAAAUUAAGUUAAUGAGCCAUACCAUGAAACUCUGGAAGAGAGUAAUAGAGCAGAGGCUCAGAAAAGAAAUAGAGGUCUCAGAAAAUCAGUUUGGUUUCAUGCCCGAUAGGUCAACAAUGGAAGCUUUAUACCUACUGAGGCGCCUAAUGGAAAGGUAUCGGGAUCAUCAGAAGGACCUACAUGUGGUGUUUAUAGAUCUAGAAAAUGCCUAUGAUAUGGUCCCUAGAGAAGUAUUAUGAAGGGUUUUAGAGAAGAAAGGAGUCUGAAUAGCCUAUAUACAAGCCCUUGAGGACAUGUAUCAUGGUGCAGAGACAAGGGUCAAAACAUGCGGAAGGGAUACUGAACCGUUUAAAAUUACAAUAGGAUUGCAUCAAGGUUCUGCACUGUACAUACUUAUUUGCUUUAGUAAUGGAUGAACUCACUAAAGAUAUUCAAACAGAGGUGCCAUGCUGUAUGCUAUUUGCAGACGACAUAGUGUUGGUAGAUGAAACAAAAGAAGGAGUGAACACUAAGGUUGAGUUAUGGAGAAACAAUUUAGAAUCUAAGGGAUUUAAAUUAAGCAGAAAGAAAACAGAAUAUAUGGAAUGUAAAUUUAGUAAGAAUGCAAGAGUGGAGGAUGUUAUAAUAAAAUUGGGAGACCAAAUCUUACAAAGAAAAGACCAUUUUCGAUAUUUGGGAUCAGUGAUUCAAAAAGAUGGAGGAAUUCACGAGGAUGUCACACAUAGAAUUAAGGCAGGUUGGCUAAAAUGGAGAAAUGCAUCGGGGGUGUUAUGUGAUGGUAAAAUCCCAUUAAAAUUGAAAGGAAAAUUCUGUAGGACAGCUAUAAGACCAGUUUUGUUGUACGGCUCAGAAUGUUGGGCAGUCAAAUACUAACAUGAGCAAAAGACGAGUGUAGCGGAAAUGAGGAUGUUAAGAUGGAUGUGCGGCCAUACAAGAAAAGAUAAAAUUAGAAAUGAAGUUAUUCGUAAUAAGAUAGGAGUAGUGCCAAUAGAGGAGAAGAUGAGAGAGACUAGACUAAGAUGGUUUGGUCAUAUGAGAAGGAGACCAAGAGACGCUCCUGUGAGGAGAGUUGAUGAAAUAGAACAAUUAAUCAAAAAAAGAGGUAGAGGCAGACCUAAGAAGACUUUGAGGGAGAUAUUAAAGUUUGAUAUGAAGUGUAUGAAUCUCAAUGAAGAUAUGACAAAAGAUAGAAAUAUAUGGAAGUUUAGAAUUCAUGUAGCCGACCCCACAUAGUGGGAUAAAGGCUGAAUAUGUUGUUGUUUAUCUAUAGAGAUGGACGGGGGGAAAUCACGUGUCCCUAUUAGUUUAUCUUUGUUGAUGGGAAUAAGAGAGAUUUAAGGUUAGUUACUACUUCAUCAAUUUUGGUAUUUGUGAGCAAGUGAUUUUUGAAGGUGACCCUUGCCGACGGUAACGUAGGAGUAAGGGUACAUACAAAUUGACCUUAACUAAAGCCCUUAGUGCUGGAACCUUGUGCACCAGGUUCACCAUUGUGAGCUGGUGGUUUUGUAAUGCAAGCUAGAGCAAGGUGAAAUUGUAUCUAGAAAGUGGUGUUUCGCAGGUCGGAUUGGAUCUUCUUACCUUUACCGCAGGUUGGGAAGGUAAAGACCCUCGUAAGAAACUUCAUCCUUUGAUGGUUUUUUUUUUUUUUGAAUCAAUAAUAUUAUAUUGGUCGGAAAUUUUUGUUGGUUUCUUAGAAUCAUAUCAGAGUGGUUACAACGACGUCUAUGACUGAAAAUUUCGUUGUUGAUUCUUGAAAUUAUAGAACAGCAGGAAAGAAUACGAGCUUGGUUAUGGAGGAAGCUAUACAACAGGUAAGGAAUGUGGGUAUUUAAAUCUGAGAUUGAACUUACUAACCUUACUUGGGGGAACUAGGUAGCAAGGCUUGUAAGUAAUAAUUGUUGCAAUUGUUAUUGUUAUUGUUUGGGAAUUGGGGGGGGGGGGGGGGGGGGGGGUUGCCCCCUUUGGUUAUUAUGCCUAAUAUUAUCUCACAGUGGUAGUGAUAACUAGCCUUUUGAGGAGAAGUACAGGCACUCUUCACUUCCAGACUUCAUUUAUUAUAGCACGUGAAGAAAGAGCAGAGCAGAAAAUUCCAAGGGGAGUCGUUUUCUUAUGGUUUUGAGAAGCACUCUUCACUUCAGUCCUCCUAUAAUCCUAUUACCUUUCUUUUUGUUCUUAGUUUUCGUUCUUAAUCUAUUAGACAUUAGCAUGUAUUGUAUAGUUAAAAAGAGUGAAUUGGAGGAGUUUUUUUUUUUUUUUUUUUAAGUGCAUCACCCUCAUUUUAACUCUCUUUUUUAAUAAAUUAUAUUUCUUCUUAUUUUUACACCAUAUAUAUUAUGUCUCUCUUUUAAUGUUUUCUUUUCUUUUUAAAUAUGGAUAUUCACUCAAAAUUAGGCGAUGAAUGCGCAUCACAUCACUAUAUCUAUAUAUGUAAUGUACCCGUAAAGGCGGAGAUUGUAAUUUGCAUUGAAGAAGUUUGCCUUUAGCUUCCAGCUUUUUCGUUCGCUCCAAGAGGAGGCACUCAUGAUGGAUUGGAGGGCCCCCCUCUCCCCCAAAGUCACCACCACAUAUCAUACAUAGAUGAACCCUAAAAUAACACAUGAAUUUUGUAUGCUUGUUAGGUAACUUUCAUGUAUAACGUUUUGGGCCCGCCCCACACCGACAAAAGCGAGGGUAGGGUUGCGAAAUUGACCUUUUAUAAUGGUAUGAAGUUACGCCAAUCUAAGCUAUUUUGUAAUGACCCAACAUUUAUUCCUCACUAUAAAAUAUUGAUUCUUUUUAAUGCAUGUGAUAUAAGAAGGAAAACCUCAUAAUCAAUUGCAAACUUAGCUCAGUAAUUUUAACAAUAUUUCUAGGAGACUAUAUAUUGUGUAUGUACUUUUUCUUUUUUUUCUUCUUUUAUAAAGUAAAUUAUACUU